rnacentral:rRNA from 1 species
UACAGAGGGUGCAAGCGUUAAUCGGAGUUACUGGGCGUAAAGGGCGCGUAGGCGGUUAUUUAAGUUUGAUGUGAAAUCCCUGGGCUUAACCUAGGAACUGCAUUGAAUACUGGGUAACUGGAGUACUGUAGAGGGUAGUGGAAUUUCCGGUGUAGCGGUGAAAAUGCGUAGAGAUCGGAAGGAACACCAGUGGCGAAGGCGGCUACCUGGACAGAUACUGACGCUGAGGCGCGAGAGCGUGGGGAGCAAACAGG